GGUCACUGCUAUCGGUGUUCGUCUAAGCCAUGCGAGUCAUAUGUUCUUCGUGAACAUGGCAUAUUGCUCAGUAACACGUGGAUAACCUGCCCUUGGGACCGGCAUAACCCCGGGAAAACUGGGGAUAAUAUCGGAUACUCCGUAUCUGCUGGAAUGCUUUACGUUUUAAACGGUUUUUUUCCGCCCAAGGAUGGGUCUGCGGCCUAUCAGGUAGUAGCGGGUGUAAUGUACCUGCUAGCCUACGACGGGUACGGGUUGUGAGAGCAAGAGCCCGGAGAUGGAUUCUGAGACAAUAAUCCAGGCCCUACGGGGCGCAGCAGGCGCGAAAUCUUUACAAUGCGGGUCACCGUGAUAAGGGGACACCGAGUGCUAGCAAGAAUUGCUGGCUGUCCAGGUGCUUAACUUGCACCUGUUAGCAAGGGCCGGGCAAGACCGGUGCCA
rnacentral:rRNA from 1 species